rnacentral:rRNA from 1 species
UACAGAGGUCCCGAGCGUUGUUCGGAUUCACUGGGCGUAAAGGGUGCGUAGGUGGCUUGAAAAGUUUGAUGUGAAAGCUCAGGGCUUAACCCUGAAAUGGCAUUGAAAACUGUCGGGCUGGAGGUUUGGAGGGGGGGGACUGGAAUUCUUGGUGUAGCAGUGAAAUGCGUAGAUAUCAAGAGGAACACCAGUGGCGAAGGCGAGUCCCUGGACAACACCUGACACUGAGGCACGAAAGCUAGGGGAGCAAACAGG